UACGGAGGAUCCAAGCGUUAUCCGGAUUCACUGGGCUUAAAGGGUGCGUAGGUGGAAUGACAAGUCAGUGGUGAAAACCUGCAGCUUAACUGUGGAACUGCCAUUGAUACUGUUAUUCUUGAGUACAUUUGAUGUGAGCGGAAUGUGCCAUGUAGCGGUGAAAUGCUUAGAUAUGACACAGAACACCAAUUGCGAAGGCAGCUCACAAAACUGUAACUGACACUGAGGCACGAAAGCGUGGGGAGCAAACAGG
rnacentral:rRNA from 1 species